rnacentral:rRNA from 1 species
UACGUAGGGGGCAAGCGUUGUUCGGAUUUAUUGGGCGUAAAGAGCGUGUAGGCGGCUUUACAGGUCCGUUGUGAAAACUCGAGGCUCAACCUCGAGACGCCGGUGGAAACCGUAAGGCUAGAGUCCGGAAGAGGAGAGUGGAAUUCCUGGUGUAGCGGUGAAAUGCGCAGAUAUCAGGAGGAACACCCGUGGCGAAAGCGGCUCUCUGGAACGGUACUGACGCUGAGACGCGAAAGCGAGGGGAGCAAACAGG